GUGGAAUGCACCCUCCAACACCCCAGAGAAAGAAAGAAACAUAGACUACAAUUUCGCUUUCAGAAGGACAAGACCCAAACUGCAGGGGACUAGAGAAGCCAAGAUUCCAGUGCCUUCCAGAACCCAGACACCCAGCCCCAACUCAAGCACUCUGCAUGGCCUCUGAGUCCCCAGGGAUCUAGGAGGGCCAGGAAAAGGCCUGGCUUUCUAGAGGGCAGAGGAAUCAAGAUGAGAUUUAGAUGGCUCUAUUAUGAGAUGAUUAGUAGAGAAAGGAGCCACAUUAUCAUUUCCCCAAUUGCUGGUGAAAGAAAC
rnacentral:lncRNA from 1 species